rnacentral:lncRNA from 1 species
UGAUCUCGCUCGCAAAAGUCAUGGUUUUUAUUCAGUAGGAUUAAUUUUUUUUUUUUGUUUUGAAUCACAAACCCUUGUAAUUAUAUAAGUUAUUAGCAUAAAAAAAAGAAAAAGAAAAAGCAAUCAUCGUUUGAAAGGCUUCAUCAAUUAACAAUUGAUACUUGAAAUAUUAUUAGUCAGUGCACAAGUGUUUGGCUAUCUAAAAUUCAUUGAAGUGAAAUGAGUUCAAGCCUUUCUUUUAACUAAAAUUCUUUUUUACUACAUUUAUCUUUCCCUAUCUUAUUUGUAAUUACAGAUAAUAAACAAAUGGGCAGUAUAGUUUACUCGAAGCAUACGGCGCCGCACUAUGUUUCAGAUUAGAUCCGUGUCUCAUCUCUCAUUCCUCCGUCCUCCGUCCUCCGUCUUGGCUGUCUUGUAGCCAUCAGAAUGUGCGUAGCGAACGAGACAAAGUGUGUUCUUUUAACCCCUCAGAAUGUGCACAGCGUAUAAGACAACAGAGAAUGCUAAUCGGAGGAAAGGGUAGGGUUGGUGGAUCCCAUUAGCCCUUCUUUAUGUUCUCAUGGAUCUCUCCUCCGAGGGUGGGGUAGCCGCGCAGGAGUACGUCCUUUUAAUUGGAUCAGUCCCACAGCAACAAUGAAUGCCGCGAUAACAAGCUCUUUGUCCUCGUGUGUACUGCUUUUUUUCUGGACCUGCCAUGGAUUCCUCAUGCUUUCGAAAUGGCGUUCACGCAAAAGGUACGAAUACGAAACAGGACGACGAUAUUUUAGAGGAAGUCCACUCACAACCACCACAUGGAUGCCGUCGGUUCUCCAAAAUAUUAGUACGUAAGGAAAAGGGAAGAGUGAAAAGUGAAGUCUAAAGAGAAGAAAAGAAAAGCCUCCAAAGGAUCACCAUCUAAGUUAGCAAGAUUCCUAUAGAAAAGUGAUGAAACUAUAUUACCAUAUUUAGUAAGUUAGUUCCACGUUGGUCGAGUGUAUGAAGAUCACAUAGUAUUAUGAUCAUAUCAUUCGACAUAUUGCCACAUUUAAUUUUACAUUAAUUCAGUUGAAAAGUCAAAACCUCAUAAAGAUCUGAGGCCAAGCUAGAAUUAUUUCUCACAGACCUCAGAGUACUCUGCAUCGUCGGUCAUUGCAAUGACCGUAGUAUUAUGAUCAGAUCCCUCAUCCUAAUAUCCAUAAAGAAAAUUGAAUCCGAUUGAUUCAAGUUGGGGUUAAAACUUAUUGCUAUUAUACCCAAUUAGACCCACAAGGGGUAGAGUUCUUCACAUGGGCUCAACUUGUGAGCCCAAAUAAAAUCAUAUUAUCGGCCGCCGAGUCAAACUAGUGAUGAGUUCACCAGAAAAAAAGAAUAUAUAUAUACAUAGAGUUGUUGCUUUAAGUAACACAACUAGAUUUGUUUCUUGAAACGAAAAAAGAGAAAAAAACAGUAGGCAAAAGUCUUAGCUUUACUGAAUAGUUUUGACCCGCAACGAAGCAAAUCUCGGAUAAAGCAUGAAAAAGAUGGCAUCAGCUACGCAUUGAUAUAUUAAUUCAUUCUCAUCAAUAUAUCCCCCAAACAAUAUGAACAAAAAUCGAAGAAAGCGGAGUUAAUUGUGGCCAAGCAUGUUUUUUUCUGCAUCAAUAUUCCGCGUAUAUUAUGAUAUUAGCACAGAAUAAAGGAAGAGGCAUCUUACUCCAUCAUGCACAUGGGUUCACUAAACACCGCUCAUCUUUCUAGUUUGCUCAGCAAAGCUUCCAUUGGUGGCAACUCCUUCACAAUCUCUUGCCAAUCCGGCAUGCCCUGGGUAUGAAAAAUACAGUAAGGUGGUAGUAGAAUACUCCAAGAGUAUAACUUGCUCUUUAUACGGGUUUCAAAAAUUUUACUGUGUCAUGUUGUUGUCGAUUCACAGAGAUACGCAUUCGUCUUCCCUAGUUUAGCUAAUUCAGCAGCGAUGAACUACUUUCCAGUCGUCAAAAAGGAUGAACUUUAUGACUGGAUCGAGCAAAAAAUUCCAGUUUUGCUAAAGAAACUAUACCUUCCCUGACUUUCGAACACGUCCAUCUAGACGCAGAAUUAUGAAAACGUCAUCACCAGGAUCAAGGACUCCUUCGGACUUUUGCUGAUCACGUAUCCAUCUGAACAUCACACACAUGAUUAAAGCUAUACUUUGGGCAAAUUUUAAAAGAACCAAGAAAUGGACUACUACAUGUUUUCUUAUACUUUUACUACAAAAACAACAAGAAAAUGCAUCCAGCACAAGACGACUUCAGCUAAUUCUUUCAGGUGGCUCAUUUAUUCAUUAAGCUUAAACAAGAAAUUGAGCAAGAUAUAAAAAAAUAGAAAUGAUGAACAAAUACAAGUGAAAGCUUGUCGGUGGUUGAGAUAAUUUUUUUAACAACUGGUUGAGAUAAGUGAUCAGAUAGCAAAAAAUACCAACUUGUAUGGCCGCUUAAACUUGGAAGUGAGAACUGGGCCCAGUUUUGCCGGUACGGGUAAAAAAAAAAGGAAAUAUUCUCGUAGAUCUAUUGAUUAUUGUGACAGGAUUAAGAAAUACAUAGAGAGAUUUACAAUAUAUAAGAUAAAAGAAAUGAUACAGUUGGCCUUAAUCAAGGGGUACUAACUAAGUACUAACAAAAUCCCAAGUUUGAACAAGUGAAGGGCUAGGUCAAUUUGAGACUGAGAAAGAAUUAUGUUUGUCUAAUUUUGUGAAUUUUAGCUGGUUUUCACCAUUGCUUUAGUUGUAAAUUAUAAUUUUCGUAAUAAUAGCACUUUUGUGUUGGUUUAGCAAGAGCUCAGAUGGUUUGACUUUAUACUGUGAUGAUCCAAAGACAUGAUAGGGGUAAAAUAGCACUGAAAAAUUAUCUUAAAGAGAAUUAUCUGGCUAAAGAUUUAAAUUCUGUACACAUUGCACAGGUGAAAGAUCUCUCGCUUAAUUUCCAACAUUUUUUUCUUCAAAUCUCAUCAAGUUUGUUCUCUAUCUCUCUUAAUUAUCUAUCACAUACAACAGUUGCUGAGUUGAAUGCUGAAAUGCAAAGAAAUAAUCAGAUCGCAUUCCUUUAUCUCCUUCAGCCACUACUGAGCUUACCAAGGAAUAUUCAUAUUGUAUUCAAAUUUAUUAGUGCAAAACUCAUAUACGUUGAGGUCUGCAAAAAGCCAUCAGAGAGGUCUGGACCCAUGAAAAAAUGAUUAUGAGUGUUGAGGAUGUAUUUAUUAUAUGAAUUAAAUCCAAUGCAUCAAGCAAAACAUGUAGGAGGUAGCUAAAUAAUGUUUGGGUUUGAAAAUAUAUAGAUGAGCAAUUUGUAUAUUAGAUAGUUAUGAGAACAUGUGGCUAGGAUCAAGUACAAGUAACUGUCGCUAAAAUUUUGAAAAUUAUAUUUUAAAUAUGUAAACCAACUUGAAAGAAUACAUUAAGAGUCAAUUUCACUUACCUUUCCCAUUCAUAAGGAGAUACUAUCUCAGCCUUGAAGCGCACCUCAGCUUUCAAUCGUGACUUUGCAGUUAUAGAUUGAGUUCGUUGUUCAAAAUCAUCCUACCAAAAUGCAAUUGUAUUUUACGGCAAUAACAUCAAUGAUGCUAGUAUAGCUACACAUAUAUAGUCUGAACAGUAUAAGUUACUAUAUUUAGCAUAUACCCUAAACAUACACAUUUGCAAACAUAUAGAAGGAAAAAAGUUGAGAGAUUAUCAGGAAGACAACACAAAGAACAUGGUACGACAUGAGAAUACCCGAGCAUCUUCUGUUGAUUAAUUUUCAUGGUAUGACAUGAGAAUACCUUAGGUGACUAGUAGAUAGACUCACAUCUACAUUCCUACUACAUCUGUGAUCAAGCUAACAACUAACAAUUUACAUUAGCUAGAUUCUUUACCCAAAUUUGGAAGUAUGAUGACCCGAUGAUCCCAUAAAGAGAGUUGGCCUGUUGGAUCAGCAAGAUGGGGACAUCUUUGGGCAGACUAUCAUCAGAACCCUAAAGGUGAAUUUUGGAUCAGGCCAGAUUCAUUGACAUCAAGCUUUUGACUAGUGAAGACUGAAUGUCCCAGUAGUCCCACAUCACUAUGGACUAGGUUAUUAUAUGUUUAGAGAUAGAUGACUUUAAAACUAACAACUACGACUCAAGGAUUUUGGCUCACAUGGUUCUAAUGCUGUUACAUCAUAGUUAUUAGGUUAGUCUAUCGGGCUAGAACAUGAUGAUUGAUCUUAAAGUAACUUCAGGCUUCUCUGGGUGGGCUGACACAUGACAAGAUGGGGGUUACUUUAUGUAGACUGAAAUGUGAAUUUCUUUGGGUUAGACUCCCAUUAGAAUCUCAGAUGUUUUGGACUCUUGACAAGGAUGUCAAACAUUUAAUUGGGGAAGAUUUUAAGACCACAAUAUUUCCACAUAGACAAUUGAAGUUGAAUAAAAUUAGUACAGUUAGUAGUUGAACUUGAGCAUUUUGGACCACAUGGAUGUAUACCCAUUAUAUUUGAGCUACAAAUUCAAUAAGUCUACUGGGCCAGGAUGUCAAAAUUCCUGUUCUUUGACUCAUAAACUAACAAAAAUGUAGCAACAAUAGCUAAAAUUGAUUUAAACUCAAAAAAGAUUCUGUUAUGGUGUAAUUUCAACCCCAUUUGAACCUAACUCUAGCCGAAGCCAAUGCCAAAGAAUAAAAGAAAGAGGAACAAGUAGAUAGCAAACAAACUCCUAAUUGAAUAACCAAAAAAACCAAAAGAACAAUAAUGGACCAGUUCCCAUGGCCUAUGAUGAGUUCCCAGAGAAAGUAAAUUGGUGCUUUGAUACUUGAAAACUACUUCAGGUGUAAUUGCAUAGGUAUAUAUAAGUGCAGAAGACAUCCCAUAAGAGCAACUCAAAGGUCCAUUUUAUGCAUUUUACUGACCAAGCCACACAUUUUUGCAUUUAAAUAGACAAACAAAUAAAUCUGACCCCAAUUGAAGGAAGAGAUGAAGCAGAUUUUGCAGGAACACCAAAGCCCUUUUUCUCAAUGGAAGCCUUGCUAUAAUCACCCCAGAUAACAGGAAUCAGAAGAACACCUCGCUUAAGCAGUUCAGUUCGGAACCUUUCAGCCUUCUCCAUUGCUCUUGAAACAGUCUCCUUCUUCCCUGCCAAAAUUACCUAAAGUAUUGUUCAUAUAAGACCUCCAAGUUUCUUGUAAAAUUUGUAAGUGCAGAAAAAUUGAAGAAACAAAAAUGGUUUCCAAAACAAUAAAAGCUAACUUCAUCUCAUACAAUGUACAUACAAAAGAAUGGAAUUAGUCUCCUGAACAAAUGGCAUCUAACAUAGCAGAAAAGUGACACUAACCGGCCUAUAAGUGUCCCGAAGCUGCACAAGUUCAACAAUCCGAUUAGUUGAAAGACGCACAGGCAAUCUUGAGAGAGUUUCAUCACGUGAUAUUUGAGCAAGCUGUUCCUCUUCCUUCUUGUUGUCCCAGAUGAACAACACCACAAGAACAACAAUGCCUACAGAGUGCUGAUUCAAAAGCUUGAUCAAUUUAAAGAAGUGAUUUCCAAAUACCAACGAAGUGCACUUUCAAGAAUUGAAGGCGUCAAUUUGAUUAAACAAAAUUGUCUUCAUGGUAUAUAUACUAUAAUCAUUUACCGCCAAUGUUGAUGGCAGCAUUUCCAGCAGUCUCCCAAAGAUCAGGAGCCCCAUCACCACCAUUGAUUGCACGUAUGAGUCUGGGAACUGUAAAAAACAUAGAAAUCCCAGCUGCAGCAGAAAAAGCCACAUAAAAGAAUCUUCUCACGCCACGAAAUGGUGCUUGAACUUCACUAAUGAGUUUGAGAUCUCUUCGAAAUCCAUAUCCUAUGUCUUCACCUCCCAGCCUGGCCUACAAAAGCAUGAGAGGAAAAAAAAAUUGUUUCCAUAGCAUGGAAAAAUAGCCUGAAUCAAAAUAAGAACUUAGAUACACAUGAAAAUGCAAACUGAACAGAUGGACAACCUCUUCUUGCAGUUGUUUAAAUUCUGGUAAAGCUCUGAAUGAGGCUAAGUCAGGAUCAUUCAGAAUAGUGCUGAAUUUGAGAUUGUAAUCUCGCAAAGCAGCUCGCAAACAUUCUGCUGCUUGCUUUCCUUCACCUCUAAAACAAGAACAAAAUUUUAAACAAAAAUCACCUAAGAAAAAGAAAAAAAACCCACAAAGAAAGCAAGAAUAUGGAAAAAAAGAGAUGCAAGGGGAAGAAUGCUAGCAUACAAUAGAUCCUAUUUCUUCCAAAUGAUGACAGGCAUUUUACUACCCAGAAAAAAAAUCAAACAAGGAAACUAAAAUUAUGGAGAAAUAGUAAAUUAGAUGCCUGCAUUGUAUCUCAAAACCAUAAAAGAUUUCUCUAGGCCGUCUAACAUAUCAAAUAAAAUGCUAGACAUUAAUUACAUCAUUUCAAAAUUUCAGGACUUACUAAAACAGAAGAACACAGCUUAAAAUCAUCCAGCAGAAAACUGGACAACAAACACUUAGCAAAAGAAGUUGGUUCUUGGUGCCUGAAUUGCUAAGCACAAAUCAAGCAUCCAGUGUCCUAUUUAUCAACCUCAUUAAUACUGAUUGCAACAGAAUAGAAAAAGCACCAAUAGAGUUAAUUAUCCCUUGUGCACCUCUCACCUAGACAAAUCCAUCAUUUCAUGAACUCACUUUUUUGACAGUCAAAUAUUAAAUAAAACACCAACUUGAUUUCACACUCAAGGACAACUCUAGAUGAAUCUUGAAAGCUACAACCUCCGCCGUCCUCAAUUCCAUAGUUAUUUUGUACAAUUUAUUUUAAAUACCCCACUGAACUAUAACAAUCAAACUGGAACCAGAAGAAGUUUUUAGUUCAGCCUCAUCUUAAUUGGGAUUCUGUAGUCCUGCUAAUUAGCUCCUUUACUAUUAUGAUGAUGUAUAAGGCUGACAUCAUUGUAAUAUACCAAUGUGACAUAUCAAAUGAUACAAAUGAUGGAAUGCAGGAUUUAUAAAAAAGUUCAAAAAGAUUAAAUUAUAGCACUAUUGUUUAACAUUUAAAAAAAAUCUUGUGAGUGCAUUACCAUGUCAUUUUUUCUCUCAAGCAUUAGGUUAUAAUAGGAGAAAGUAACAAAUUUCUUAACUGACAUAUAGUUUAUCCAUUGAAGAGCUUUUGAAAAGACAACAGAUUGACUUCCCAAAUUUCAAGAUUUACCCCUCAAUAGGAUCCCUACUUAUCGCAAAAAAUGAGCAAAUAGUAUUAAUUAAUUACUUGCCCUGAAAAUUUUUCCAACCAUGAGGGCUUAAUCCCUAGAAGAUAAGGAAACUCCAUAUCUACAUGCAGCACCAAAGUCACAAUUAUAUUUGAUUUCCAUGUAUCUAAACAUUCUAGCAGAGGAUAGAGAUUUUUUACUUGUAUGCAUGGCAGCAAGCUUUGUUGUACAGUGCUGCUUGGGCUUCCAUAGGAUUUGGAUUUAAAGAAAGGGCAUUCUCAAACUGCACAAGAGCUUCUUUCACCUAUCACAUUUUCAGUCAUGCACACGGAAAUGUGAGAUAAAGACGUAAGAAUAUGAUGAAAUGAUGAAAAGAAAAGAAGGUAUAACGAACAGUAGACUUUAAGCCAGAUUCCUUAUUACAGCAAUGAUGAAAAGAAAAGAAGGUAAGAUUAUUAUGGAACAAGCACAUAGACACAAUUUGAAAGAAAAGCAUUUGAAUGAAGGAGUAGCACAAUAUAGCAUAUAAAUGUUCCUCCUAGGUAACUUGUCUUGUCCUCUCUUUCCUGACAUAAAUUAAUGCAUCUUGAGACUGUAACAUUUUCAGUAGAAACCCAUCCUCUUCUUUUUAUGUGAUAGAAUUUUGCAAGGACAUUAUUGGCCUCAAAAGACAACCAUAUGGCAUAUGUUUAAGAUCAGUACACAUGGCCCUUGUCAUGAUGUUUUGAUGAAGAGACCAAGCCUCCAGAUGAACUAUGUACAAUCAAAGUAUGGUGUUCAGUUCAAGGAAUUAUGCUGCCACAGAUUUUUCUCUUUUAUUUCUGCCUUUCCAUAAAUAUUUCGGAGCUUUCAGUACACUUUUCAAGUAGCACUGUUUUUGGUCCCCUUCCCUUAUUUUCAUGUUGACAGCUCUUUCCUCGUCGCUUCUCUCUUAACUUCAAAUUGGUCUCCUCCACCAUCCCUUUUCAAGUAUUGAAAUUGUCUACAACUCGAUGCAACUGUUUUUAGGAUUUUCUGGUUUUCGAUCAUUUUUCAUUCCAAACGAAAGAAGUCUUUUCUUCCUCUGUUGAUCACACAAUACGAUUAAUCCCUUCAACAUAGUUAGCCUAUUUCAGCAACAUGAUUGUCGUAUUGGUUCAUCAUUUCCGUACCCUCAGCAACAAACACAAUCUCCUUGCUAAAUAGAUGGCAAUCUUUGGGUUGCUAGAAACAGUAUCUGAAAACUUCGUGUUUUUGUUUGCUUUAUGUUGCAAACUCAUGUAAUAGAUCUCUUUGCAACAGUCACACGAUCGUACUAAUCCAUUGUGCACACUAUGGUCCAUCAUGAAUUUGACAAGGAAACAACAGGAAUCUUUAACAGUGUACCAGGACUAACCAGUACCAUACAUGAUGGAUCAAUUCAGUUGCCUGCUGUAUACAGUGCGCCAUGAAAUGAGUCUAAUUAGUACUAGUAAGUGACAUGCAUCAAUAGGAAGGUCACUCAUUUGCAUUAGAGGGAAGGUGAAGAACUGACAGGUCGACAGACUGAGUUCUUGAAACCAAAAGAAAGAUUCAGAUGCAUCGUUGCAAAUAUCAUCCUUUUGUGAUUUCUUGACACUAAGACAAAGAUUUAGGAAAGCAAGAUCCCCAGUUGCUACUUUUAUAACACAAGAAGCGCCGAGGGAUUUGGCAAUGAGAGACGCACCCGUCCCUUGGAGAAGAAAGAAAGGCCGAGAUUGACACACGACUCCGCCGUCUGCGUCGCAGUCUCCGGAGAGGGAGGAGACGGGGGGGAGGAGGAGGAGGAGGAGGAAGAGGCGACGGGGAGGAGACGAGCCCGUCGGGAUCUGAGAGGGGUUUUGGGCGCAGACCAGGUGUUGGACUUCGGGCAGCAGAGGAGGUGCUGUUGGAGAGCGAGAGACGCCAUGGCCAUCGCAGCCACGAAAGAGGGAGAAGUAACGCGGAGGAAAAGGCGACGGCACCGCGCUCACAUUUUUCGCUUCCGUUAUCCGCACGAAUGUCACGGAAGCAGCACAUCGCGACCACCAUUUCUUUAGUCGGGUCGGGUCCGAUCCAUUCCGUUCCCGUGGAUCUAUACAUACAAGGCCCACGGAGAAUCUGGAUCCGGGUCUAUCUUGUUAAAGCCCGAACCCGGACCCAAGUUACCAAACUAUAAUAAAAGGAUAUAAUAAUAAUAAUAAUAAUAAUAAUAAUAAUAAUAAUAAUAAUAAUAAUAAUAAUAAUAAUAAUAAUAAUAAUAAUAAUAAUAGUAGUAGUAGUAGUAGUAAUUUACCUAACAAAACAAGGCCCAUGGAGAAUCUGGAUCCGGGUCUAUUUUACCAGCACCUAUUUUAUUUAACAUACCAAAAAUAAUCUCAAAAUCGGAUUAACCCUUUUUAUUAAAUCGAACAACUUGAUUUAAACCCGAUUGAUCCAAGGGUUAGUUUGGUUCAGUAUGAUUGUAGUCCGGGUCAAAUGGAUUUGGGUCAGAUCUUAUGAAGUUGAUCAAGUUAAGUGUGAAUCAAAAGGUAAAGAGUUUACACAAGGGUUAAACCGAAUUAGUAUAACCCUACUGUAAUCGGCAAUGACCAAUGCUCCUCUCUCUCUUCUGCUCCUCUAUGAUUACGGCAUUUCUCUCUCUUUGGUAACGAUAAACUUCUCUACUCUCUAGUGAUGAAGGACGAUAGUAAAGUUCUAUGCUUUUCUUAGACAUUUUAUGAAUGGUAGCGACAUUCUCCUAUCUUUAGUGGUGCCAAACUCUUCUGCUCCUCUACGAUGUUUGUGCAUCUCCUCUCCAACUAUAAAUGAUAGUAUCUUUAUCAGUAGCCAUAUCCUCUCUCUAGAGGUAAACUUAUCUCUUUUUUUUUUAAAUAGUAAUAUUCUUUGAAAUUAAUUUUUUUAUUAAUCUAUUAAGUAUGUGCACUAAUCCUAUUAACAUUGUGAGAGUCUUAAAGAGGUUUUUAUGUUUAUAUGAUAAAAACGAUUGAUUGUUCACUAAUUAUUGAUAUUUAUAUUUUUGAUGCAACUUAAGGGUUUUGUUAGUUUUUGGUGAAACAAGGAGAGAUUGAUGUUGUAAAACUAAAAGGUCUUUGUUGGUGAACUUUUUAUUGUUAAGAUGUCAAAAUCUUGGGUCUGAAUCAAUAAGUUUAGGUGAAGCAUUCAAGAGAAACAUGGUUAUAUUUGCAACACCUUCUAGGAUUAUUAUUGAUAUUUUUAAUGUUCAUGGUGAGUUUUGAGUUGAUUAAUUCAUGUUUUUUUAAUUACAAACAAGUGUGAAAUUGUAAAUAUAGUUUUCUCUUAGAAGAAGUAAUAUUUUUCAAACCUUGUUUUAGUGUUUAUAUAAUUAUUUUAGAGGGUUUCUAAUUCUUAUCUUAAUUGAUGAAAUUGGGUAAACACCCACUUUUUUUUUGCUAGGUGAAAAUAAUUUAUAAAUAUUAAAUAUUUAUACAAAUUAUUUUCUUUGAUUUUUUUUAUAUUUGCUUAAACUUUAAAUAUAUAUCUCAUAUUUAUAAUAUUUAAUUUUAUAUAUAAAUGGAAUGAUGUCACUACGUAGAUUCCUUCUACUUAGGGAUAAGGAGCAUUUCAUGUGGCUACUACAAGUAAUAUAUAUCAUAAUUUUAUAAUUUAUAUUAAAUAUUAUUAAAUUAUAUAUGAUUAAUGUUAUUUUUAAAUGUAAAGUAUAAGAUGUUUGAAAACUAAUUCCUCCAUCUUCACCCCCUUUGGCCAUCAUAUGCUACCUCAACUAUCACAUUAUCCCCUCUAUAAUAUAUAAUUAAUAAUCAUUAUUACAUAUCAUUUUAGUUAAUGAUCUUUGUUAUAUCAUUCAUUUUAGGUAUUUUGUCUAGGAACCGAGUGGUAAGAGUUAAGGUCGCAUGAUGUUGAGAAAUAUAAGGCGACAUCAAUGUUUCUUAUCGUUAUGCGUAAAAACCUACGAAAUAAAAAAACUAUGUGUAAGAGAAUUACCUAGAGAAAUCAUAUAUAUAUUCAUGAAUUCCUACAGAUCUAUGAGAUUAGAUGAAGGAGUUCAAAUGCCCUCCUCUCUAAUAAUGAUCCAUAUAGCAGGGGCUGCGACGAUGCUCCUAAAAUCACUACUCAAAUCUUCUCAAUGUGCGCACCAUGCACUUAAGUAAGAAGGACUCAAGUAAGGUCAGCCUUUCUUGUUGUCCACACGUCCCAAACUGGGGCUGCUAGCUAAGGAGAGGAAGAAUAGGAGGUGGUAGCUAAAAAACCUUGCUUAUGACCCUUUGGUUCUCUCCUAUUUAUAGAGGUCCUUUGUCAACUUAACCCUAAUGGAUCUUGCUCUAUUAGGUAUUAACUGUAGAUGUACUAGGCUACUACACCAUAGUCCCCAAACGAUAUAGGGGAAUCUAAUUCUUUGGACCUAUCUAUUCUCAAUUAUCAUGUAUCUAUAGUCCCUCAUCCAUAUAAUAUUUCAGAGACCAUAUAUCAGACAUAAUGCUGUCAGGCUCAUACGAUUUCUCCUUGAGUCUUGGUCUAAUCGGAUUCUCUUGGAGAACUCUUUCUCUCUCAAUCUAAAUGACCUUGGCCAAGGAUUUCUCUAAGCAAGAACAUAUGAGAUAUUCCUCUCAUGAUAUCGAGAGUGGAUGAUCCUCUAUCGACACUUAAUAACCAUCAUAAGGUUAGCUACCACUUCUUAUGAUCGGUUGUGCUAGAUCUGAAACUUUUAAACCUAUAAGUUUGGUAUCAAAGAGUGGAGUACUCAUACAGGACAUACUUGAUGUCUCAAGUCUAAGGACCAAGUACACCAUUGGGAUGACAAAAUCACUGUUUGAUAAUAAGGUAUCAUCAACCAUCUAACAUUUCGUGAGCGGAUUAAUCAGUGAACUCAUUCUCCAAUGAGCACCUGCACUAUAGCCUUAGUGUCCCCACACGAGCAACUAUGAGACCAGUUGCUUCCAUCAUAUGAACGAGUAUACAACACACCAGCAUAUCCGGUUAUCUCAAUAUUUCUCUCGAGUAACCUAUGAUCAGAAUUAUUUAAGGUCUGUGUUUAAAGGUGAAUCAAUUUCAUUAUCGUGAUCUCAUUACGAUCCGAUUCUCAUUGCACAGAUUUAUGGACAUCACAAUAUAUUUAUGGAUCAAGCAAUAUAAAUUGAGAAAAUAUCAUAAUAAUAAUAAGCAAAAAGACUGUAUGUCAUGUCACACAUAUCAUCACUCACAUGAUUGACUUACAGGGCACCUAUGACAAGCACAUGAUAUCUAUUUCUCCUAUGUUAUAUCAUCUUCAUAUUCUUAGGAUGAUACCUUUUUGUUAUAUAGCAAAUAUUCCUAACAUUCUUACAUAUUAUUAUUUUUAUAUAUUAUUUUACAACAUUAAGAGAGAGAUUCAAUUUUAAUUUUGGCAGUGUUUUAGUUGAAUUUAGCUUGAGUAAUAUUUCUAUAGUUUUGAAGGUUUCUAAUCGUAAACAAGUCAUAGAUGUUAAAGCAAAGUUCGGGUAUAUGUAUGAGAAAUACUUUAAUGAUCAAUUUUAUAGGAGACAAAAUAUUAUUGACUUAAGGUUGUAGUUGAUAAUUUUAGAAUAAGGUAAUUAUUGAUUUAAGAGUUCAUUUAGAGAUAUGGAUAUGCUUUCUAUAAUUGUUAUUGUUAUAUAUGCAUGUUAUAGAUGUUGAAUCUCGUAUUUUGAUGAUGAAAUCAAUUGAUAAUUAUGUUUAUGUUUUAAUCUGCGUUUUGAGUGAUGCAGGAUGCUUCGAUUAGGAUAAGACAAUUAAAGCAGGAAAAAUCAUGUUGGGCCGGAGGAACAUAUUAGAAGAUUGGAUGUCGGGCCAGUGGAUCGGUCGACAUAUCGACAGAAGACUUCGGGCCAUGGAUUCGGGCAUCGGGCCAAGAAGAGCGGACAUUGCGCCAAGGAUAUCGGAGCUGUGGAGUUAACUGGUCGAUUGGACAAUAGACCACAAGAGAGGACGAUGUGCCGAAGAAUCAGACGAAGCGUUGAGGGACCAAUGACAUACCGGACAACUUGAUUAAUGCUUAGUAUUAAUUUUCUAAAUCGAAGUUUGUUUUACAUGUGGAGAAUUAACUACGAUGGAAGUAAGAUAUGCAGCAGGAGUUACGCUAGAGUCAAGACCAUGAUCAUGUUGGGGGUUCGAGAGUUCGACGGAAGUCCGGACGGUCGUCGGAGGUUCUGUAGGAACAAAUCCGAGAAGUCUAGGAGCUUGCCAAAGAGGAUCGUCGGAACUCGCCAAGUAGAUUGUCGCAAGUCCAGGAGUUUGCCGGAAGUUCGUCGGAGCAUCGCAGAGGGUUCAUCGGAUGUUCGCCGGAAGUUCGUCGGAAGAAGCGAUUGACGCACCGGAGCAAGUUGUAGUAUUAAUGUCUUAAAUAUCAUAGUUAGCAUGUAGAUUAAGUUAGGAAUGAUCAGUGAUCCCAUUAACUUAAUCUGAGAGCAAUUGGGCCCUUGACAGACCCAAAUUGGGCCGAAUGAAUCAGCCCAUUCAGACCCAGAAUUCCUGCCAGGCGGUGACACCGCUAGGGCCGGCUGUGGCACCGCCCAAGAGUCUUGGUCUCCCAGGAAUUUUGGGUGAUAGUACCACCCAAUUAUGAUGGUAGUACUGCUAGGACCUCGAAAAACUAGGAGAUUCACUUUUCAACUCCAAAUUCAAGCCAGUUGGGGCCUAUAUAAACCCCACCCUUUCCUGCAUGAAAGAAAAAUCGAAAGCUUGAUCUUACUCUAUGAUUUUAGAGCUCAAAAGUAUUGUAAAGGCCAAAAGUUCUCCUCCCUCUUUUCUUCCAAGUUUUGAUCAUUCAAGAGAGGAGUGAAAAUUCUGUAAGGGUUGUCUCUUAAGCCCGUCAAAAGGAGUGAAACUGUAAAAGGGUGGUUGGCCUUUGCCUAUUGAAGGAAGGCAUCUAGUAGACGCCGGUGAUCUCGUCGGAGGAGGAAGCCGAAAGUGGAUGUAGGUCACGUUUGACCGAAUCACUCUAAAAUCUAGUUUGCAUUUCCUUUGUGCUAUUUAUCUUAACUGUAAACUGUCUUUCUUACUUUACUUCAAAUAUGUUUUCAUAAGCUUUCAAAGUUAUUAUUUGCACGAAAGGACUUUUACAUCGGAAUCAGAUUUCAACGUACGAACGCAUUUUUAAUCAUCGAAAGUUUUCUACUGUACUAAUUCACCCCCCCUCUUAGUGCUUUUGAUCCUAACAAUAGAGGUAUGUCAAGCACUCAUCCCGAUAGUUACUGAGUCUCAUCUACUGAGAAUACCAAGGUAUAAUAAUUUAGUAUUUUAUAUUUAUAUUUAAAAUAUAUUAUUUAUUUAAAAUAUUAAACUAUUUAUAUGACAAAUAUGCUGGUGAGAAUUGUGUCGAGUGUAAAAAGAAAAAAAUAAAAUUAAGAUUAUGGACUUGAUCAUCUUGUGACCCCAGGAAGAAUUGUUCAUUUGGAUCCAUUAAUAAUCAAUUAGCUUCCAUAGUGUGUUAAGGAUUAUCAAGGUCUACUCCAUUGAUUCCAAUAUCUUUAGUACCAUUUUUUCUUUUUUUUUCUUUUUUUUAGGAUGAUUAAUUAUCCAAAUAGGGACUUAUGUUUUAAAUUUAUGAUCAAAUAUAGCUCGAAUACAACGUAAGUGUAACUUAAGAAAUUUUUACCAACUUAUUCAAACUUCUAUAUAACUAUCAUUAAAUGAUUCUAAUAUGUUUAGCAUCACUUUUCUUAAAUUUUUUUUAAUUUUUAGAUGAUUUUAGUAAUUACAAUGUUAAAAAAGAGAAUUAUAGUUCUAGGAGAUACUACCGCUUGGUUUAGGAUGAUACCAUUACUUAUGGUCAGUAGAUAGUGGAUAUAGACCAUACUAUCGUUUACUUAGUGGUACCAUUACCAUUAAGCAAUAUUAUAUUAUGAUUGAGUAUAAAGUAAGUAUAAUUUCAAGUUAAAUUUAACUAAACUAAUCGAAACUUAUCUACAACUACUAUGACAUGAUUGUAAGAUGAUUAAAUUAUUUUUUAUAAUUUUAGUUGAUCUUAGUGUAUUUAAUAAAAUUUAGCAUAUGGUGAUUAGAAUGUUAGAUUAUAAUCAUAUCCAAUUCAUAACUCAAGUGUAACUCAAAUAAAAAAGAUUGUAACUAAAUUAAAAUCCACUAUGAAAAUUAUAAAAAUGAUAACAUCAAUUCAACUAAAACAAAAAUACAAUAAGGAUCAUAACAUCAAUUAUAAAAUGAUAACUUCAAAUUUAAAAUUAGCAAAAUUUUAUAUUAUUUCAUAAUGUUACAACAUAGUUGGCAAAAAACUAUAUAGAUAUACUAUAGGCAAAAAAUAUCACCUUAUAUUAUAGCUAAUGUAAAUAAAAAAAAACCAAAAUUAUACUAUACCUUAUCUUUGUGUUUCGAUUCUAUCAAUAUCUUCUUACUUCUAACCUAAUAAUACCAAAUUAGAAAGAUAUAUAUAAUAUAUUUUUAUUAUUACAAUAAAAAGUUAAGGUCCAUUUUAGCUCCUAUGAUUUUGACCAUGGAUCACUUAAACCCUUACGAUUUACUCGUGUCUAAAAUAAACCUUAUAUUUUCAAAAAUAUAAUAUAUAAGCCCUCCCUCCCCCGUCAAGUUUAAGUUAAUAAAAGUUAGAGUAUACUUACGUGGUUUGUUGACUCAUAGUAAACCAUUAAUAUAAUAACAUAUAUAAUUUUAGUUUAAAAAAGAGUUAAGAUCCAUUUUAAACUCUGUGAUUUUAGCCAUGGACCACUUAAGCCCUUAUAAUUUAUUCGUAUAUAAAAUAACUCUUAUAUUUUAAAAAAUAUAAUAGAUAAGUCCCUUUCGUCAAGUUUGAGUUAACAAACGUUAAAAUUUGCUUAUGUGGUAUAUUGACUCAUAAUACAUCAUUAAUAUAAUGAUACAUGUAAUUUAAGUUAAAAAAAUUAAGACCACCAUCAAUGAUGGGAGAAGGUGCCGUUGUAGAAGCGACCACCAAUAGUAGCACUGAGCCACUACUGUUUAGCAGGGCAUCAUAUGCACGUAGCCUUUCCUACGCUGACGAUGAGUUCAGGAGCUUCCAGUCCUGCCUUAGGUGGAUAUGCAUCGACUAGUCCAAUGCUAAGCAUGCAAUAGUCUCGUGACCCCUCUUCCUCCUCUUCAACAUUUUCAUCCGUACCACCUCCCACUUCAUCCUCUCAUAUACCCCCACUUGGCUUCUCCUAUCUCCUCUCCGUUUUCGUCCGCCGCUUCCUUUUCCUCGACAAGAUGGACUUUAACGGGAGAGGCUUACAUGCUACGUUUUUGAAAAUGUAGGGAUUAUUUUAUAAAUGAGUAAACUAUAAGAGCUUAUGUAGUCUAUGGCCAAAACCACAAGGGUUAAAAUGGACCUUAAUCCUAUAAUGAAUGAUUCGACAAUACACCGAAUGAUGGGUUGAUGCAAUUAGCGCUUCAAUGACACAACGAAGAAUGAUGUUAUAGCUUCAUCGACACUGCAAAUAUUUGACCAAUAUAAUAGUCGGUCAUAUACUGAUUCCAAAAGGGUACAUAAAGCUAAGUGAGGUUAUGGCAACAAACCAUUAAUCACCAAGACUCUAUAAGGCUUCGUCAACAAUGAAUAAUGACUAGCUCUAUUGGUUUGCUGAUCACUUAGGCUCAACAAUCGACCAGACAUCCUAUUGGUGGGAAGGCAAUGGUAACCUCUUACCUCGGCAAUCAUUGACACUCACUCAGAUGGUGACGACAACCUCCUGCCCCAUCGACGAAGACCAUCCGGACCAUCGAGACGACAAGCACAUAAUUUGUAAGGUCAAAUAUAUAGUUUAUAAAUUAAAAAAAAAAGAGAAACACCUAAAUCCUUGAAAAAUAUGCAUACUUUCAUCUAUUGUCACAUAAAAUAAUACAUAUUUUUAUAUGACUAAAUCUUAUAUUUUUAAAUUUUAUUCUACUAAUUUGGUAAGAUAUUAUAUAUUUUUUAGUUCUUGAUUUUUAUCAUGCUGUCCAGUAUAUUAUCUCACCCUAUUGUAAAAAAUUAGCUCAUUUGAUACGAAGUAGCCUUAAGUGUUUAACAAAUGGUAUCAUCUAUAACAUUUAUAGAUAAUAUCCACAGGGUUUCUCUUGAUGGUUUUAGGAUUCCAAAGGAGCCCAUGACAUCCUCCCCUCCCUAUAACACCAUUUCUCAUUUCUCCGCCCAACGUAUGCUGUUCUUGGAAUGACACCACGUAAAGUGUCCUUUAAAGUGCUCCCCAACUGUUCAUGGAGAGGCGUUCCGAGAAGAUGCAGACUAAACAAACUUGGCCGUGCAUGGCGGACGCGACAUCGAGACGUAAACACCGGGGCUGUCCACAAAAGCACACUCGCAUGGCCCCAUGCGAUGGUGUGGGAAAGCCAAGAGAUGUGUGGCGAACGCCACUGGAACCGUCCUCCAUGGUCAAGAAACACUGCAUGGCCUUAGUUACUGUGACGGAGUGGUUGAGGUCAAUGGAUUCCCCAGUUCUUCUUGCUGGCGAUCCCAAUCCCCUUCCCUGCUCUACAACAGUUCAGGUGACUGGGCAACCCAAGAUGAUCAUGGUGCAUUAAAUCUCCAUCUACUCUUCAUCUUUCCUCAGAAUGCCAUAACUAUUCAUCUCAGACACAGAAACAGAACAUGAAGAAGACCUGCACUUCAUGAACCUUUCAUGCUCGUCUGAUGCACCGACACCUGCUGCUUCUCCUUGUAUUUAUGAUAAGUUUCAGGGCGUGUAAGAUGCAACUUUGUAUCUACUCACUGAAAGAAAGAUAAUACUGAGCUACUUCAGGCUUCAAUCAAAGAUGAGUCAACAUAGUCAACACGAGACCUUUGAUGUUUGUCUUAAUUGCUCAAAGAAUAUAUCUGACUUACUACAUACAAAUGCAUCGACCUGCGUGACAUCCUUUCAUGCACACAAGCUGAGGCCCCCAUGGCGAUGUAAGGACAGUGGGAGAGGACACUGGAAGUUCUUUUCAUAAUGGAAGGCCAGGAACAAUACAUAAACAACAGGCAGAGAAGUUAGAGAAGACUGUGUUGCCUGUGUGCAGCUUGUGGACUCACAUGUGUAUCAAAGGAAACAUCAGCUUGGUGAGUGUUGAUUGCUGCUGCCAUGAACUGAAUCAACAUCCCAUCCCCUAAAACAAAUGCAAAGAAACUCAAUAGCAGUUCUCUUCCACCAUUCACACAAUGUAGAACACAGAACAAAGUCCAAAAGGCUCAGUUCAACUAAGUUGCACUUGCUAAAGUAGUAUAAGCUUAGCACUCACACUCCUCACAAUACCAUAAGUAGUCUUAGAGGAAACUACUUGGAGUUCUACUACGGCGCAGUGGAGGUGGGGAUCGUGUCCGUCACAUGAUACUGCAGGCACCGCUGUUCUCGUCGCUGCAGGUGUAGCACGAACAUGGCGAUGCGGUCGAGUAGAUGUAGCUGCUCUGCAGCAUUGGCAGCGCCGUGUAGUACGCUCCGCCGUGGCUCAUGCUCGGCUGCAUCGAGUUGUAGCUUACCAAGUAUGAUGGCAGCUGAGAUGUGGUGUACACCGGAAAAUUGAACGUUGGUGGGAUUGCAACACCGCCGCUUGCUCCUGCUUUCUUGCUGGCUUCCUGUGGAGCUACUUCGACCUCAGUCGCACUGCCGCCGCCGCCACCACUUGCGCUUCCGCUUUUGUUGUCGUUGUUGCUGUUGCUGUUUUCCUUCUGACCCUUCUUCCCCUUCUUCUUACCACCACCUUCAGUGGCGGCAGACUUGUUGCCCUCAUCCUCUUUCUCAGGUGGCGGAGGAGGCUCCUUGCUGCCAUUCUUGGAGGCUUCACUCUCUGGUUUAUCGGAAACUUGGGUGGAGUCAUCUUUGCCAUUAGACACUUGACUGUUAUCAAUGUUCUUUGAUGGCUCCAUGGGCUUGUUGUUCUUGCUCUUCUUGUUGUUGCUGCCGGCGUUACUGCCGCCACCGCCACCGGUUUCCAUGGGCUUCGUCUCGGGCCAGAGUUCAGCAUGUUUCCCAGCCUUGAGGAGCUUCUUGAUGAGGAUCUCAGCAGCGACGUUGCCGGUGACCACCACUUUGUGCUGCUGGGGGUCGACAGUCGUCUUGUAAACCCCUGAAGAACCUCAGGAAGAUACAUAAGUGGCUUUUGAUGAGGCAAGCGAGGGAAACAAGGGAGAGAACAAAGAGAUGGAGUACUCCAAUGUUACCUUCCAUGCUUUGUAGGACCUUCUUUACUUUCUUCUUGCAUCCUUCACAGUGGAUGGAGACCUUCAGAAUCAAAGUCUGGAGCAUCACCAAAAUCCAAAACUUUGCCUUCACUCCACACACACACACACACACACACACACAACCUUCACAGAAAGAGAGAAAAGCAGGGGACUGGGAAUAGAAAUGUACCUGAUAUUUCAGUGUUUCAGAACACUCUUUAGCUUCUGCCAUGAGUAAAAGUGGAGUUCCGAAGAAGGGUAUCAAGGAAAGCAGAGAUGGAAAAGGGAGGAGGGGAGCGCGAGAGUGAGCGUUGCUGCUGUGGAGGUGGUGAUCCUGGCUUCUAUCAUAGAGCUGCCCCCCAUGAUAAGUGGGUGCCAACAGCAGUGGACAGGAGAUGGUAGGCUUGUAACUAUUAAUCACUCGUAUCAUCUUCAGAUGAUGACAAUUACACCCCUGUAAAUAAGUGGAUGCUAGUCUGGGAUUUGAACCUGGGGGAGACACUGAUUCCUUUGAUCAAACUGGCUCAUGAACAGUGCCUCUCAUGUUCCGGUAGCCCUCAGAAGUUCCCAUAUUGUACCCAUUUGAUCUGUGACAAGGACCGAUGGUAUUCGGUGGCUGCAGGUUUCAUGAUAGUGACUUAAAUUUUGAUCAACCAUCUUCCAUCGUAUGCAACUGCAGUGGUUUGUAAAGGACAUGAUGAUGCUGUCACUCUCACUUCCUCUUCCCUGACAGCAUCCUCAGGAGGUGAGGAAGAUGAAAAAGGCCGUCUUAGGUUGGGAUUGAGCCUGUGACAAGGAAUUAGAAGAGGUUUAGGAGAGCUACAAGAGGCCACUAAAAGGAUAUAUUAACGAGGAAGAGACACCUUCAUGCUGUCUAAUGAUUUGUAUUAUAAAUAUUUUGUGCUCUGAAAAAUAUAAUGCCACCUGAAUUUAGAGUCAAUAUAAGCUUUACUUUUUGAAAAAAUAUAUAUAUAUUAUAAUUUGAUGAUUAACAGAGUAAUAUUAUCUUCUUUUUGGAAACAUAGUGUGCAAAUAAGAGAGAAAAUAACAGAGUUUUGUCUCUUAUGUAUAAAUAAAUAAUGUUUUAAGUCAGAGAUUAUACUGAAAAAUCAAGAAGAAAAAGGGUAACAGACGCACACCAUUAAUGACUUCCUUCUCACCAUUAUUGCAUAACUCCAUUCAUCCUCGCUUGCCUGCCAGAAAUUAAAGGAUCUGAGACUGUAGUUUUCAUACAUUGAAUCGCUCAAGGACGUGGUUGGUUGGUCGACAAUAAAUACUCACAUUUUAAUCUUGGAUCGAAAAGGACCCAUGACAAUUCAUGAUGCCCCAUUAUCACAUGCACCAUUAUGACCAACUAUUGAUGAUAAGUCUGUACUUUUGAUAAGUCUGUACUUUUGGCAUCAGUAAGGGAACCAUUUACAACAUAAGUCAUGUGAUUGUUGGAGCCAAGAAGAAGAUGCUGCACAAAGUUGUCCUACUGAUAUUGAGCAAUAAUGAUAGUUCAGGACACCGAGAUUUUAUCGAUAUGGGGUAUACGAAGGAUCAAUGUACGUAGUCUUCACUCUACUCUCCGAGCGCGAAAAGAUUAUUGUUCAUGGUCGAUGUCCUUAUCAUUCGGGUCGCAGAAAAGUAGCCUUAAAUGAGUUGGAACUUUGCAUUCGCUCUCUCUUCUCACUUAUGAGCUUAAUUCAUGGAGUCAUCCUGCUAUAGUUGUUACACUGGAAUACUUUAUGGAUUCCUCAUAGCCAUAUAUUAUUGUAUAGUGAUCAUCUUUGCUCGUUUUCUGAUCACAAAAAGGAAUUGUCUGUGUUGAUGCUAAUCCUAAAGUUGGUGAAACGGUGGUAAAUGUGAGAUUCAAAGUUUGUCAAGCAAGAAGGAACUCAAAAUAAAAGAAUAGAAGAUGAUGUCGCAUACAAAAAUUUGCUAUAGAGCUUGCUGAGUUCAAUGAACAAAACACUCGUCUUUUCUUCCUCAGACAAAUCUCAGCUCUCACCUUCUAAGUAAUGUUUGUAUCUGGUGGUAUUAGUGCUUGAAUCUUCUGAAUGGCACCAUAAAGAUAGCCACCAAAGCAUACAUUCACAACAAAAUAGAUUAGAAGAUUCAUGAUAUGUCAACCCCCUCAAUAAUUCUUAGAGUUCUUUGGCAGAGAUCAAGGGAAAUGCUUGGUUGCUUGUAGAACUGCUUCUUUAGGCACUAAUUGGUGAGCCAUUUGCGACGUUCAUCCUUAUUUAAUUUCUUAGAUGCUCAAACUAAGUUGCAGUAGCAGUGACUCUGGUUGUAACUACAGAAGAACCAGAAAUAACAAGGAAGCUUCAACAACUGACCUCAAUUUGUUUUAGAUAACCUACUGUCUACUGUUAAUCCCACUGUGGAUCGCCUUGCAGGAUGAUGACUCUUCUCUGAAGUUAAAGAGUGUUAUGUGUACCUUCAUUUCUUGCACAAAAGGUAUUUGGGCAUUCAUCAGCUGCUGCUACUGCAGUGGCAAUCAGCUUUUGAGCAUGCAACCAAACUCCUGGGUUGGCCUUUUGGUUCAGAAUACAAUUGGCUUGAUCUGGUGAAACUGUCACAGAUGGGGUAAUGAGUCCAAACUAAUCAAUCUACUUUUAUGAUCAGCCUGCCACAAUGCGUCUGUUCAAUCUUUACAAGGGACCUGGAAAGAGUUAUAUUAAGUGUAACUUUGUGAUGUAAUCAGUGACCAAAUACUAUUCAGUUUUAAGAGCAUUCUGUACAUGAUGCUUAGGAGGAAAUAGAUGACUGUAGAUUUUACUUAGGUUUCAUGUGCAGAUACUUGCUCAUCUCAUCCUUUUCAUCUGUAUCUCUGGCAGCUUUCAGUACUCUUUUGGUCUCAUGCACUUGUCCUAUAAUAUAUGGAGCCAAAUGCAGCAACUUUUCAUGAGCAAACAAUAGAAACUUGACAAGCCAAAUGGUGGAGAUUACACAGCAGUUAGUCAUGGUAAAAUUACAUGUAGUUUGGCACUUGAGGUUGCAAGUGGAUGCAGGUUUGUAGAGAUUGAAGCACUCUUGGAAACUCCGAGUGGAGCUCUUCCUCAGCUUUCUUAUCUUUUGCUGAUACCUAAAAGCUAAGCUUUGACACUAACUUGCACUUUCCAGCCAUAUCAGCUUUGAACUCAUUUCAAUGCUGCUGCAGCCUCACAUAAACUGAUAUCUCAGUAUUUUUCUUCACCUGUUUAUCAUCAGCUCCUCUUCUCCAAUUCUCAUUCUAGUCUUACAGAUAUUUAUAUGAUUCGACAUCCCUUAUCUGAGUUAAUAUAAUUAAUAAAAAAAUAUUUUUAAUUGCAUAAGAAUAAUUAUAAUAAAGAAAAAUAAAAUUUAUUAAUCAAAACCUAAGCCCAAAGCAUUUUAUUCCAUCUCUCCUAAAUCUGAAAAUUUUUCUUGCUAUCUAAACACCAAAAAUAUUUUUAUUUUUAUUUUUUACACAUCAUAGUCUUAAAAUACAUGUGAUUAUAGAGCAAUCAGUCACCAAUCUUAUUGAAAAAUCAAACUGAUCCAUCAAAAUUUCUGCAAGUAUAAUUAUUAUUAAUUUUCUCUUUUCAAUUACAUGUCAAUCUCAACACUUUGACACCAUCAAUCAGUCUUCAGACUUCGGACAAAAUGCCUUACAUGCCUUGUUCACUGAAUUUAUUCUGACAAGAAAGAUUGCAGGAACAGCUGAUUAGAUCUGCAACUUCAAUGCCCAAAUGCAGUGCAGGUUGUCAGUAAUGAAUGACUCUCUAGCUGGGCAGAUUAUUGUCCAUGAACUGUGAUCAAUGAGCUGCUAAGUUGCCAGUGCAAGAUUUUUUUUUUUUUUUAAUUUUAUUUUAAUGUGUUGCAAGUUCUAAUGGUGGGUAAUAGUUAGCUGAUUUGAGAGCAGAUUAUUCCCUGAAGAUAACUCCUACUGCCCCUUCCAUGAGCUUUAUGGGAUUAGAUAGAAUGAACAGAUGUUGUACUGCCUUCUGGUUUUUGUUGUGAUGUCUUGUGUUCCUUUUGAAUAAAAAAAGAAAGGAACACAGAGAUGAAUGGAAAAAAGAACAAAUAUCAAUUUCUGAAUUUUCUUCUCUUUCCGCACCUGAAUAAUCUCAUUACAGCUAACCCAAACAAAGAUUUAAGAUCAUCCAUAUGAAAGAUGACAGGCAUUAUUAAGCUAAGUAUUUUUAUUUACUUACAAGAUUUCAUGUAGGAAAUGUAGCGACAGAAUAACCAAGUCUUACACCACUUUUUCUUUGGCUGGAUGCCAAGUUUAUUUUAGGUGAGCUUAUCAAGUUCUUCAUGAAGCUCUCAGAACAUACAUAUUUUCUGCUUUUAAUUUAGUAAUUGUUCCAGAAAUGGAAACUAUUUUCUUCUUAUUAUUAAGUAAUUGUUCCAGAAACUGAUACUAUUGAUUGCCAACAGAUAAUAAAUACAUAAAUAGACUGUCAGGAAAUAUAUUGGUGUGUGAGAUGAAGAUGGAAAGUUUCGUAAAAGAAUAAUCUCUCUAAUGUUUUGGAUCUCUAAUAAUGAGCAUAAGAACAUGAUUGCCUAGGCCAGUAUGACUACCACCAUAGAAUUUAAUAGCAAACUAGUGUAUCCAAGCUUCCAAGACUAACUGCAAACACAAUUAUGUGCAUCCAAGCUUAUAACAAUUUACAGCUCAUCCAAAUUGCCAAGCAUCAAAUGCGACCAUCAAUUUUUCAUGACAGUCAUAUAUGAGAUAAUCAAGAGAAUAAUAAAUUUGACUCACCAAAGAAAUUAUAUUUUUGACCAUUUUGAGGUCAAAUACACAAACAGGGUUCAGUAAUGGUGAGAAAAAACCACAAAAUGUAGUGAUAAUUGCAUUGAGCAGGAUAACAGGUUGCCUGUGUGCACAUUCCCCAUCGCCUAAACUUUGUUGACAAUGACAUCACGAUACAAUACAAUGUGAUAUUAAACCAAAUAAAUACUGGUGGCAAACCAUUCAGCAAGUUGACAAAGAUGUCAGUUAAAUCUAUCAUCAAGGUAAAUUUUUACGUACUGCCAAAACACCUACCACCGCAGAUGUAAGAAGCAAAAAGAUGCCGUCUCUGGAUAGAGCAUAUUCUUUCCAUGUUAGAGGUCGACUGAUUUGGUUCAAAACCUUCUGGAAUUGUAGUCUUGUUUCUUCAAUUGUGCCAGAAUUAUCAAUGACUAUAUUUGCCUUGGUCUUCUUCUGGUCCAGUGCCAUCUGUGCGUUAAUUUUAUUUUUGGCUUGUUCUUCAGGUAUGCCAUCUCUUGCCAUUAAGCGUUUUAUCUGGGUUUCAGGAUCAACCCAUACAACAAUAACAGGAGAUGUUUGUUGAUCCAUUUUGGUCUCAAACAACAAUGGGAUGUCUAGAAUGAUAACCUUUGACCCUUUUAUCCACAGCUUGAAUACCUCCCAAAAGAUGCCCGAGGAAAUAUAUGGAGCCAAUAAACUGCAGGUAGGUAAAAAGAAAAAAAAAAGUUAGAUAAAUUCAUGUGCAGUUUUGUAUUUCCACAUCCUCUGAUUAAAAGGAAAGACCAACAGGAAAAUUGAUUAUUUUAGCAUAUGAUCAAGCUGCAAUCCAGCAACAGGAACUGCUAUUAAUGUUAUUCAUGAAGUUGGGCAAGGGGUAGUUAUAAAAGAACCAGGUGUUGAAUUUUACUUACUGUAUAACACAAACAACUAGUAAGAAUCAAUAGAAGUGUCAAAGCGUGAGCCAAUCCGUUCUAUAUACUAAUUAAAUCCUUCAAUCCUAGUUGAGUGGAAACAGUUUCCAGUUGUAAUGCUCUAUUUGAAGUCCAUACCGGUUCAGAAGUUGGCGUUUUGCUGGAUCUGUAAAGACAAUGUGACCUAGCCGUGCUCUAUCAAUUUCUCCAUUCUCUAGUAAAAUAUCGUUCCCAAAUGCUUUUACUACUUUCUUCCAACCACCCGUUCCCUUCUUCACCACAUCCUGCAUUGAAGCACCAUAAUUAUCUAGAUAUCAAACCAUAACAAUCUGAUAGUUGCUUCAGAAAAAUGCGAGAAUUAUAAAUUGUUGCAUUAGGACAAACACAAAAUAAUCGCAAAAUGGAGUUCCCAAAUGUAUCUAUAAGUAUGAUGCAACAAAUUGGAAAAGUAACGCACAAAAGUAGUUCGGUAGUACUUGAUCACAAAUGAUGAGAAGCAACAUAAGUAUAAAUUCUUCCAUGUAAGAACAACCUACCUACGCAAGUUCCAAACCCCCGAAUCCAAAGAUCAAUGUAAAUAGUUAUUUUGUACAUUGCUGCAGUAUAAGAAAAAUGAUCACAAACGUAGUUGAGGUUUAACUCGUCAAAGAUUUACAAUGUAAUCAUUGAACAAGAGAGGAAUGUGGUAGAUUCCGUGGGCAGGAUUGGGUGGUUGGAGCAGGCAAAUCAUUUUCUUUUGCAGUAUUAUCAUUUCAAUCACUAGUACAAAAACCACAAACAUGAAUACAUCAGCAAGAAUGUUAAGAUAAAGGAGGCCAAAACAGAAAAGGUACUCAAAGUUUUAACUUUGUGCAAAGUGUAGAAUUUUCACCGCGAGUUAAAGUAUAAUAGAGUUACUUUCACAUGUACGUUCAGCUCCAUUUUUGUCCUUUCGACAGACUCUAUGAUCGAUAAGAAUUAGUGACACAACUCCAAAGCCACAUGGAGUCCCGUACGAGCUGGCACCGAUGAACAAAAAUCAAUUUGCAACACACAGAAUUAAGUCAAAAAUGUUAUUUCUCACAUAUAAAAUUGAGACCAACUAUAGUUUUGGACAUCAAUUUCAUCAUUCAUUUAAGACCACAGCAAAAAGGGCUGUACAACGCACAGAUGAAACCCUAACUAAUGAAGAGAAAUCAAAUCCAGAUGAAACCAAUAUCAAUUUCUACACAGCAAAAGUGCAAGCGAUCGUAAUUUUUACAAAGUUUAUUUCCACAAUGUUAGUAGCCAACAUCGACAAAUUAGAAGCAAAACGAGAAAAUUCAGGAUCUUUGCAAAGGAAAGGAGUGGUGGAUGUGACAAAUGCUAAAUGAAUUUACCCGGGCAACGACGUCGGCGUCGACGACGGGAACGCCUUCAGAUAUGAACAGAUUGGAGACCGUGCUCUUCCCGGACGCGAUCCCGCCCGUCAGUCCCACCAACCUCAUCUCCUCUCCGCAAUCUAAUCCGACAGAGGGUAAAACAAGGGAAAUAGGAGAAGAGGACGACGAAGAGGAAGAGAGAGGAUUCGCCCCCUUCUGCCUCCUCCGCGCGAGUGGCACGAGUCGCGGAGAAUCCUCUUUCGGAGACCCGCUAUGGAUGCCACAAACAUCGCUUCCUGGUGAUUAGCAACUAACAUCGGGGUCCACCAGAGACCCGCAAUCGAUGCCAUUAGGGUAGAGGGAGGGUGAAAAGUGGUCGGGUGGGGAGUCAUGCCUCCACCUAGCGCUGGUAGGUGAGGUGGUGAGCCUUUUAACGGGUUGCUCUUUCGAGGCCAUAAGUGGGACCCUUUAGUGGAGCCAUCUCUUCCCCCAAGGCCAACGUUGGUAGAGAAGAGGGUGAUCGAGUAAUGGGUGAAUGAAUGCAUGGCUUAUCAAAAUUUUUAUCAACUAAAUUAAUUAUUAUUUUUUAAAAAUAUAUUAAAUACAAUAUUAAACCCUCCUUUAAAAAAAAAAAAAGAAUCUAAUACAUUAUAAUUAGAUCAAUAUUUAAUAUAUAAAAAUAUAUUAGAUAAGAUUUCAAACUUUUGUAAGUGAGUCUAGGACACUAAUAAAAUUUUAAAUCAAAAAAAUUAGAUAUAUCAUCAUUAAAUUAAUAUUUUAAAUAUAAAUAAUAUGUUAAUCGAAGUUUGAAACCCUCAACUUUAAAAUAUAUGGAUAAAAUUUCAAACUCCCAAUUUUGAUAAAAAAAAUUAAAUACAUAAUAUUAAUAUUUAAUUUUUUUAAAACUAAAUAUUAACUUUGAUAAGCUAAAACUCAAUUUUUAAAAAUUUAUUAAUAUUUAUAUACUCUCUGUUUCUAAGAUAAGCUAUGUGAUAUUAACCUCAACCUUUCUAAGAGGAUCUUGUUGUACCAUUACCUCUUUUACAUUAGCCCAUCAUUACAUCUAUUGGUAGCAUGACCUAUACGAUGUAGUUGUUACUUAGUAGAUACUUCUAACUAUGAUGUUUUUUAACACACCGGUUUUUAGCUGUAGGAUGCCCCAAACAAUCACCUUACAGCAGCUGUCGAUGGAGACAAAGCUGUCGGAGUUGCGUGUUUUUUUGGCUUUACAGAUUAAUGAGGAAGAAGAGCAGCUUUACUCGUUGCUUCUUCCUGCUGGGGUUAACGGACGCCAUGUCUGCGCAACAGCAGCAGCAAACAGAGCUGUUUGUGCACUCCAUCGGCAAACAUGGUUUUCCUGCACUCCAACUUGAAGGGAAAGAAAGCAAAGGGUCUUAUUCCAUGAGCAACGCUCCAAAGCGGAACACACACACCAAAGCGUUUCAGAGCCUCAAACUGACAGCAGCACUCAGACAACAACCCUCAGAAGAGCUUUGGGAACAGGAGUUCACUACGAGGUGGGCGUGCCGGUCGUCACCUUCUUGUACGCGGGCCGCGACGCCAAGCUCUCCCACCAGGCCUUCACAUGGGGGCGAGACUCGAACAGGGAAGCCUGGGGACCGGCUACGAUGUGGUGGGUGUAAGGAAUGUGGCUGAGGUCGGCGAAGCUGAGGAAGUCGCCGGCCAAGUACUUGGACUUGGACAGCCGGGCCUCGUACACGUCGAGCACCUUGCCCAGCUUCGCCGCGCUCUCCGCCACCACCUUCUCGUCCGGGACGCCGCCGAAGAAGACAGGUUUGAUCACGGUCUCUAUGUAGAUGGCGGAAAUCGCCUUGUCGUACUGCUGAGCCUCCACCUCCAGCCACACGUCCACCAUAGCCGACUCCUCCAGGCUGCCCUCCCUCAGCAGGUCAGGGCCCGAUGACUUGUACUUGCGCAGCACGUAUCUUGAGAUCGCUCUUGACUCUGAUCCCCCAAGUGUCAGCAAACGAAGGACGGGUAAAGAGAUACACACAGAAAGAGGGAUG